rnacentral:rRNA from 1 species
CGAAUUGGGAAUUUUCCGCAACGGGGGAAAGCCUGAAGGAGCAAUACCGCGUGAGGGAUGAAUGCCUAUGGGUUGUAAACCUCUUUUUUCUGGGGGGAAAAAAAUGACGUGUUCCUGAAGAAUAAGCAUCGGCUAACUCCGGGCCAGCAGCCGCGGUAAGACCGAGGAGGCAAAAGUUUUCCGGAAUCACUGGGCGUAAAGCGUCUGUAGGUGGUCAAAUAAGUCAACUGUUAAAUCUUGAGGCUCAACCUCAAAAUUGCAGUAGAAACUAUUAGACUAGAGUAUGGUAGGGGUAAAGGGAAUUUCCAGUGGAGCGGUGAAAUGCGUAGAGAUUGGAAAGAACACCGAUGGCGAAGGCACUUUACUGGGCUAUUACUAACACUCAGAGACGAAAGCUAGGGUAGC